CUGUUCCGAAAUAUCACUUACUCGAACCGUACUGACCGCGUAGCUCAGUUGGAAGAGCAUUGGGCUAGUAUUCCAAAGGUCGUAGGUUCGAAUCCCACUGUGGCCGGGCAUAUUUUUCAAGCUCGCCCGGUGUGGAUAUGCACUCAGAGUAACAUCACAAACAUAUUAUUCACCUGAGUACACAAGACCAGCACAAAAAAAAAAAAAAAAAUUCAUAUUACAAGAACACAUUGGUAUUGAAGGAACUAGAUACUGUUCCGAAAUAUCACUUACUCGAACCGUCCUGACCGCGUAGCUCAGCUGGAAGAGCAUUGGGCUAGUAUUCCAAAGGUCGUAGGUUCGAAUCCCACCGUGGCCGGGCAUAUUUUUCAAGCUCGCCCGGUGUGGAUAUGCACUCAGAGUAACAUCACAAACAUAAUGUAU